GACGAAGGGGGCUAGCGUUGUUCGGAAUCACUGGGCGUAAAGCGCGUGUAGGCGGUUGUUCAAGUCAGGUGUGAAAGCCUUGAGCUCAACUCAAGAAAUGCACUUGAUACUGGAUGACUAGAGGACCGGAGAGGAUAGUGGAAUUCCCAGUGUAGUGGUGAAAUACGUAGAGAUUGGGAAGAACACCAGUGGCGAAGGCGGCUAUCUGGACGGUUUCUGACGCUAAGACGCGAAAGCGUGGGGAGCAAACAGG
rnacentral:rRNA from 1 species